rnacentral:lncRNA from 1 species
CUUAAAUCAACAGUGGUAUUUAUUUAUAUCAACAUGUUAUUCAAACAAGCUUUUUCAUUGUACAAAGCCAUGUAAGUGUGAGCAGUCUUAAAUACAGAUGUAAUCAAUCUACAAGGCCAUCCCUACCCCAUUAAGCCCCCCAAAUCAAAACUGACUGGUGAAAACCUGUCUAGAAAAACAACCUCCCACAGGUCCAGGUUUGGUUUCAUUACAGGUAAGAUUUCAAAGUGAGCUCGCAAACACUUGCUCAAUGACUGAAUAAAAACUGAAAGCAAAUAUAACAAAACUUUGAGGUAGAUGUCGGACAUAACCUUUCACUACUCUGCGUGUGGGUGACACUAAGCUGAUUGAUUAUAAUGGGCUAAAAGUCUGCCUAGAGUUUGAAGCAAUAUGACUAAAUGCAUGGGUUUCUCUAUCUUCUUCCUCUAGCCAGUUUCUUCUGGAAAAACGGAUUUAGGACAAUAUCUAAGUCAAAUAAUGAAAGCACCCAAAAACAUUAAAAACAGAACUAACACAUGAGCCAGCAGUCAGACUUGUGGGGACACCCAAAAGCAUUGAAAGCAGAAAUUCAAACAGGUAUGUGUACAUUCAAUUUUCACAGCAGCAUUAUUCCCAAUCGCCAAAAGGUGGAAGCAACUCAAACGUCCCUAACAGAUACAUGCGUAAGCAAAGUAUACAUUCAGGAGACUAUUACUCCACCUUACAGAGGAAAUCCUGACAGGCUACAACCUGGAUGAAACUUGAAGAUAAUACGCGGAGUGAAAUAAGCCGGUCACAAUAGGACAAAUACCGUCUAAUGCCAUUUAUAUGAAGUACUUAGAGUAGUGAAAAUUGUAGAGAUAGGAAGUAGACUGCUCUUUUGUCAGGGCUCAUACGAGGGUGUAAUGGAGAGAUACGGUGUUUAAUGGGUUACAGAGUUUCAGUGUUUUGGGGUUUUUUUUGUAUAUUUUUUUAUUAGAGUUCGAUUUGCCAACAUAUAGCAUAAUACCCAGUGCUCAUCAGAGUUUCAGUUUUGUGAAUGAGGCAGUUAUGGUUGCACAAUAAUGUGAGCGUAGGAAUGCCACCGAAUUUAUACACUUAAAAAUGGCUAAGACGGUACAUGUUAUGUCUAUUUUAUCACACUUGAAAAUAAAUGAUUUUAAAAAACACCUUGCAAUCUCAACAAGUUGUUCAGAGGCUAAAAAGCUCACCACCUUAAGUCACUCAUGUCAUCGAACAACUUCAACUCUUCUCCAGGCCACCCAUUAACUAACAUAAUCGAACACAUCGAAGGCAAGUUGCCAUAAAGUCAGAGACCGGACACGAAAGGCAUUUUUGCAAGUAAAAAUAUAAGCCAAAAGAAAAACAAUACAUUAAGAAUUAACAACUACACUGCAAGAACCUAAGGGAUCUUCUCUGCAAGAACUGAAAGAAAGAAACAAGGCAGAAAAUAGAGGACAUGACAACACAUGAUGAAGACAAUCACCAAAAAAUGUUGGAAGAUGCAGGGGAAAAAAUGCACAAAACUUCUCUUUGCAAAAAUUCAGUGUUAUAAAAUUUUAACUCAUUAAGUAUGAAACUAUUUAUAGCUAAAUAAAAAUCCAAGUCAAGUUCAACCUAGCUCAAAUGCCAACUAGCCAAAGUGCAUAAAGGGAAGGGGUUUAAAUCCUCCUGACAACCAAGGUGCCCGGCCUUGGUUUGCUUCCACAACACACAAGGAAAGGCAAAGCUUCUCCUUUGGAUCACUAAACACCACUGUCUACCAUUAGGACCCAGUAAAACCAGCCUUUCCUUAGGUCCCGUGAUAAUUUAUAUCAUGCCAUUUGAGAAGGCAUCUAACACAACCUUUCUGACCCCAGAUACUUGUAAAUUUCUAAUAUAACAAAAUAAAGACUUCCUGGAAACACCUUGUGUGAUUACUUGUUUGAUAUCUUGUUUCCUCCACUAGACCUGUGUUAUCCAGGGACGCCUGGGUGGCUCAGUGGUUGCACAUCUGCCUCUGGCUCAGGGCGUGACCCCGGAGUCCCGGGAUAGAGCCCCACAUCGGACCCCUUGCGUGGAGCCUGCUUCUCCCUCUUGAGUGUCCCUACCACUCUCUCAUGAAUAAAUAAAUAAAAUCUUAAAAAAAAAAAAAGACCAUGUUAUCCAAUAUAGCAGCCAUCAGCUAAGGUAGAUAUUUAAAUUAAAAAAUUCAUUUUCUGGGCAGCCCCGGUGGGCGCAGCGGUUUAGUGCCGCCUGCAGCCCAGGGCGUGAUCCUGGAGACCCUGGAUCGAGUCCCACGUCAGGUUCUCUGCAUGGUGACUGCUCUCUCUCUCUCUCUCUGUCUCUAUGAAUAAAUAAGUAAAUAAUCUUUUUAAAAAAUUCCAUUUUCUGUGUCUUACUAGCCAUAUUUCAAGGAGUCAAUUCACCACGUGUGGCCAGUGGCUACUUGGCAGUGCAGAUAUAAAAUAUUCCCAUCACUGUGGGAAAUUCUACUGGACGGUAUUUCUAUAGAGGGUAUGUUCCAUGGAGGCAGGAACCUUCUGACCUUUCCACCAAUGUACACAUAGCACCUCUCACAGAGACUGCCAAAUAGGAGGCAUUCAACAGACAUAAGAAAUAAAUAUUCAACAGUCAGUGCAGUAAAUGGAGAGGAUUGAAGAGAAUUCAGAAUAGAGUCCUAGAGUUUGUGUGCAAGAGAGAGAAGGGGGUGCAUGGGAACUACAGACUCCUACAGAUUUAAGGUCAGAUUAAGAAAAGCAAAAACAAAACAAACUGAAUUCCCAAAAGUAGCAAAGAAUUUGACCCUCUCAAAAAGUGAAUCCUGCUACCCGAAAUGUGGUCAGUCCACAGGGCAACAGCUCCCCAUCCAUAAGAGCUCGUUAGACAUACGGAAUCCCAGCGCCUACCCCAGGUGCUAUUCAAUUAGAAUCUGUAUUUUAGGGGAUCCUGGGUGGCGCAGCGGUUUGGCACCUGCCUUUGGCCCAGGGCGCGAUCCUAGAGACCCGGGAUCGAAUCCCACAUUGGGCUCCCUGCAUGGAGCCUGCUUCUCCCUCUGCCUGUGUCUCUGCCCCUCUCUCUCUCUCUCUCUCUCUCUCUGUGUGACUAUCAUGAAUAAAUAAAUAAAAUCUUUAAAAAAAAAAAGAAUCUGUAUUUUAAUAAGCAAUUCAAAUGCACAUUAAACUAUGAGAAGCAUUAGUCUAGUUCUCUACCCUCCAGAUUGAGCAAGUAGCCCUGCUCAGCAAAUUUGUAAAAAAAAAAAAGAAAAAGAAAACAAAAGAAACCCUACGCACAAUUGCAUGUAAAUCUAUAAUAAUCGCUAUAACAAUUUCAAUGAAAAAAGAGCCAUUUCUAACAAACUUGGAAUCAUAAACUUUUUUGUAUCUCUUCUCGACUACCUUUACCCCCACUGCGCCCCCCCAAUGUAGGAGAACAUGAAACACAUGUAAUAUCUGUGAGUUCACAUAUGCAAACACAUUCACAGCACUAUGAACAAAACAAGCGGCACGUAACAAACACAGAUACAGGGUAUCCCAGAGGGACAUGGCUACUGCCAUCAAGCACUUUAAGCUCGGGACCCCUGGGUGGCUCAGUGGUAGAGCAUCUGCCUAUGGCUCGGGUCGUGACCCCAGGGUCCUGGGAUCAAGUCCCGCAUCAGGCUCCUUGCAUGGAGCCUGUUUCUCUUUCUGCCAAUGUCUCUGCCUCUCUCUGUAUCUCUCAUGAAUAAAUAAAAUCUUAAAAACAAACAAACAAACAAACAACAAAGAACUUUUAAGUGGCAGGAGUGAUACACUGCUAUGGUAAACAAAAAGUUCUGGUUAUGAGACAGCUAUCCUCAUUAUUUAAUGGUUCUACCUGAAACGAACUCACUUUACAUGUAAUCCCGGGCUCACACAGUCUUCAGGAGUGUGUUGCUACAGUGAUCAAUUAGGCUUGUUGUGUGUGUGUUUUUUAAAUAAAUUACAAUUCUUCAAACUAAUAACCAGUCCAUUGGCUACAGUGUUAAUGCAAUCUGGACACAAAAAUUCAAGUUGUUUCUGAAACUUUAUCUGGUAGGGGGGAGGUUUUUUUUUUUUAUCCCUUUACCCUGGAAAUUAUGUUGAUGAGAAAUGUUAAGAAAUUUUCUAGGUGUUUAGAAUUAUAAAUUACUUACACAAGGGCACCUGGCUGAUUCAGUUGUUAGAGCAGACAACUACUGAUCUUGGGUCGUGAGUCCAAGCCCUACACUGGGCAUAGAGCUUACUUUAAAAAAAUAAAUAAAAACUCGAUAUAAAUUUUUAUACCUGUCCCUUUCAUUUUUAUGUACUUCCCUAAUCUUCCAGCAUGACUUUUUUUUAACAUCUUCACUAUUUUUAUGAUAAAAACUGAUUUUUUUUUUAAAAAGCAUUUCUCUUUAAAAAAUAAGAGUAACCAAAAGAUGCUCUCAAAAGUGUUCUUGGACUUUACUAUGAAAAUACAACUCAAGUGAAAUGUACCUAUUUCCCUCACAGAAAGCUGCAUCUGAACAAGUUAAAAGUGGGAAAGACCAUAAAAUGUCAAGUGGGAAAAAGUGCCUAACUCUGAGUGAACCCAUCUAUUGCCCCACAGAGUCUCCUCUACCAGGUUCGUGGGCCUGCCAUACGGGGAGCCUUCCGCGCCCACACUAGCUCACUCAGUUUGGUAUCUGUAAUCACUCGUGAUGACUGCUGAGGGCUUCUUGUCCCCAGCUCAAACUUUUUAGUUCUCUUGAACCUCGGUUUUUCAGGUACCAGAUUGUAGCAAACUCACUCUAGGGGGGCCCAGAUGAGUCACAUCUCUGUACUAGCCUCUCCCCUUGAGUUUGGGUAGAACCGUGACUUGCUUCUAGCCAAGAUUAUAUGGCAAAGGUGAUGGGACGCCACUCCUGGGAUUAUAUCAUGUUAUAGAAGGCUUUAGCUUAGCAGACCCAGGUGAGAGAUUCCCCUGCUGGCUUUGAAGAAAUAGGAUGCCAUGUUGUGAGAGGUCUGCAGAGGGCUGCAUGGCCCUAGGUGGUUGGUUCUAGGAAUGGUGAACUGUCAACCAACUGGUGACAGUUCACAGCCAGACAAAAAACAGGGGCCUCAGCCUAACCACAGCAAGGAACUGAAUACUGUCAACAACCACAUAACAGGGUACUUGAAGAGAACCCAAAUCUCCAAAAAAGAGCACAGCUCUAUCCAACAGCUUGACUGCAGUCCUAUGAGACACUGAGCAGAGGACCUAGGGAAGUCAUGCCCAAAUUCCUGACCCAAGAAACUGUGAGAUAAAAAAUGUCUGUUGUUGGGGUGCCCGGGUGGUUUGGUCAGUUAGGCAACCAACUCUCGAUCUCAGCUCAGGUCUCGAUCUCAUGGCUGUGAGUUCAAGCCCCAUGCUGGGCUCCGCACUGGGCAUGGAGCCUACUUAAAAAUGUCUGUUGUUGUAAACUGAUAAAUCUGUUAUUCAGCAAUAGAAUACUUCAGUAUUGGCUACUUGUGCAUCAGCAGACACCUACCUAAGAACUGAUUAUUAGAAUGAAUGCUAAUUCUUGGAAUUGUACUAAGUCUUAUCCUUCCAAUAUGGAAAUACAUCAUCAAACUUUAACAAUGCCUGUAAUCUCAUAUGGCCAUUCACAUUUUGGUUUGUGGAACUCCAGUGGAUUUUCCAGUGAGGAUUUCCAAAUUUCCGGCCAUGUUCUUAUAAUCGUCCCUCUCUCCCUGAGCCACAUCUUCUACCCCUUAAAUGUAGAUGCUGCAGAUUGAAUCCCUGUUCUAGCAAGCCUCCCAGCUGCCAAAUAGCAUCUACUGCCUAACUUCCAACAACCUGAGAAAAAGCAUAUAUGGAACACAGGUGGUCUCCAAGGUCUAGCUAUGAGAAAAGCAAAGUACAAAAAAGAGCAAGAAUAGAAUUUUUACUGUUAAUUUCUCCAACGGCCCUCUCUAAAAUUGCUAGAUUAUAUACAAACUCAUAUUGUGGUAUAGAAGGUGGAUGGGCAGUGGUCAAAACAGAUACUGUAUUUCACUCCAGAAAAAACAAACGCAAACUUGUAGAAAUUAGAUAAAUAAGAGAAGGCAAAGAAUGCAAACAGGUAGAAAUUAAAUGUUCUUCACCAUAAAACGUGGUAAAGAGAAGUAAACAAAAGCUGCCAUCAGUGCUUUAUCAAAAGAGAGCUCACGGGGUGCCUGGGUGGCUCUGUUAGUUAAGCCUCUGCCUUUGAUUCAGGUCAUGAUCUCAGGGUCCUGGGAUCAAGCCCUACAUCAGGCUCCCUGCUCAGCGGCGAGUCUGCUUCUGCCUCUUCCUCUCCCUUUGUGAUCGCUCUUGUUCUCACUCUUUCUCUAAUAAAUAAAUACAAUCUUUAAAAAAAAAAAACAAAAAACAAAAGAGAGCUCACACCAGCUUUGCCACACUCAUACGAAGUACCCUUUGCGAUCCCUGACUCCUAGCCACCAAGCCCCUUUCUAAUCAUUAUUUGGUCUCCCGGGUAUUUCAAACUCCAGAAGAACCCUACGUGGGUGAUACAAAUAAUCCAAACACUGCAAAAGACUGUGCCUCUUUGUAAAUUAAACUGCAGCCUAGUUCACAGCGCUUACAAUGUGAUUACCAGCCGGACGCAAUGAGGAGCAAGUCCUGGAAGAGCAAGGCUCAGACUCAGACUCCAUUACCAAUUACUCACCCUAUUACUAACCUAGUAACUCUGAAACAGCCUGUAAAGUCGGAACAUUGCAUCUCCAAACCCCAUUUGAACAUCAAGAAAAUCAGCAUAUAAAAAUAACUUUUCUUUUUAAAAUAUCUGUAAAAAUAGUAAAAUCUCCUAAUUGAAUGAAUUACUGUAAGACACUGAUUGUAACAUGCAACAUUGCUUUGGAUAUGUAUACGGAUAAACUGUCGAUUAAAUUUCUUCACGAUGUUAAGUGACUACUGACUUUAAGACAUAUUCUGAUUUCAGAGAUGUUAAAAUUGUGGAAAAAAGGUAGAAAAGGGUGCAUCUUAGAACUGAUGAAACACAAUACUGAAAAAUGUGUUUUGCAGAUAGUCAUUAAACACGGAGUCUCUGAAACGGGCAUAGAUCCAUAAUCAGUAGUAUUCUUAAAACUAUCAAUUUUGUUUCACUUCUCAUUUGAAAUGAAGAAUGGAUGGCACAUGUGAAUUUCUGACAUCUUGCACAAACUUUUUUUUUUCUUGCACAAACUUUAAAACGUAAGGAUUCCUAGUUUGAAAAUCAUCUCACUUUCACUGAUAAAAUCACAGAUCAGGAGACAGAUAAGCAAGGCCCUACUCAAGUAAAGUGACCGAGUGCAGGGCCGGAAAACUAGUAAGCAGCAGUCAAGGUUUGCAGCCAGGUCUCUGGGGUCCUGCUCUGUGUUCUCUUCACAGAAAUCAGAAAUCAAAUGAGGCAUGAGCAUUCUCUGGUGCAACACUACAGCGAGGGCAAAGCAAUGAAUAAAACUCUGUCCGUUUUCAAAGUUGUUCUUUUUAAGAAACAACACUCCUCAACUUCCCUGAUAGAAUGCUGAUGACUGAUCAUUUGUUCAGCUACUCGGCUCAACUACUAGAGGGUUUCAAGCUAUGAGAACGGCACCCAGCUUCUCAACAACACCUUCUCUGCGU